rnacentral:rRNA from 1 species
AAUUCGACGCAACGCGAAGAACCUUACCUGGGCUCGAAGCGCAGUGGACCGGGGUGGAAACAUCCCUUUCCGCAAGGACUGCUGCGUAGGUGCUGCAUGGCUGUCGUCAGCUCGUGUCGUGAGAUGUCGGGUUAAGUCCCGCAACGAGCGCAACCCUUAUCACCAGUUGCCAUCACGUUAUGGUGGGCACUCUGGCGAAACCGCCCCGGAUAACGGGGAGGAAGGUGGGGAUGACGUCAAGUCCUCAUGGCCUUUAUGUCCAGGGCUACACACGUGCUACAACGGGUGGUACAAACCGUCGCAAACCCGCGAGGGGGAGCUAAUCGGAAAAAGCCAUCCUCAGUUCGGAUUAGAGUCUGCAACUCGACUCUAUGAAGCUGGAAUCGCUAGUAAUCGCAGAUCUGCACG